CCGAGCGUUGUAAAAGAUUGUGUUCAAUGAAUAAUGAAACAUGUCCACAUGAUUGACUUGAUCAUUUUCCGGGGCUGAGGGGGGACGGGCGCCCAGCUCGCGCGCCUCAGUCGCCCACUCGCCAGAGCCCGGCCAACCGCUCUCAGCCCUGCCCGAGCAGGGCAGGCUCGCUUUUCAUCAACCUCAUUUCAGAAUCGCCCCGUUCAUUGAUACUCAUCAUCCAACCCCAGCAGACAUCCCAUCCCCUGGUCGGCCUCCCCCUAUCUGUGGCCCCGGCAUCCCUCUGCAGCCCAUGGAACAUGCAUAUCCAGGAAGGACCACUCCCCGCUCUCUAGAACGUCAUCUGGGAUCAAUUGGGGUCCUUGGAGAGUUUAAAAGACCUGGUGAGUCUGGAUCCGCUGGACAGCGACUUCCCACCACCUGAGAACCAGACCAGAAAAGCUCAGGCCAGGGCUCUCCGGCGCCCCCUGUCGGCGUUGCAGCGCUUGUCACCUCGUUCCUGUCAAGCUGGUCCAGAGGUGGUCUCUUCUACCUGGACUCUCCUCCUCUUGGAGGACCUGGGCUUCCACCCUGAAGUCUCUUAGCACCGAUGAAGACUCUUUAUUGCUGAGCCUCCAUAUUUCAGCACACCCCUGAAAGAAUGGGGUGCAGCUUUCUCUGGUGGGCUCCACAAUAUGAGAAGACAACCUUUUCAAACACUCCCUUGAGCUUGGAAUUCAGCAGGAGCCCUUGAAGGUGAAAGGUGAUCCUCUGUAAAAAAAAGACUUUGC